AGAGUUUGAUCCUGGCUCAGGACGAACGCUGGCGGCGUGCCUAACACAUGCAAGUCGAACGAGGAGAUUCCCUUCGGGGAUGAACCUAGCGGCGGACGGGUGAGUAACACGUGGGCAACCUGCCUUAUAGAGGGGAAUAGCCUUCCGAAAGGAAGAUUAAUACCGCAUAACAUUACAUUUUCGCAUGAAAAAGUAAUUAAAGGAGCAAUCCGCUAUAAGAUGGGCCCGCGGCGCAUUAGCUAGUUGGUGAGGUAACGGCUCACCAAGGCGACGAUGCGUAGCCGACCUGAGAGGGUGAUCGGCCACAUUGGGACUGAGACACGGCCCAGACUCCUACGGGAGGCAGCAGUGGGGAAUAUUGCACAAUGGGGGAAACCCUGAUGCAGCAACGCCGCGUGAGUGAUGAAGGUCUUCGGAUCGUAAAGCUCUGUCUUCAGGGACGAUAAUGACGGUACCUGAGGAGGAAGCCACGGCUAACUACGUGCCAGCAGCCGCGGUAAUACGUAGGUGGCAAGCGUUGUCCGGAUUUACUGGGCGUAAAGGGAGCGUAGGCGGAUACUUAAGUGGGAUGUGAAAUACCUGGGCUUAACUUGGGUGCUGCAUUCCAAACUGGGUGUCUAGAGUGUUGGAGAGGAAAGUGGAAUUCCUAGUGUAGCGGUGAAAUGCGUAGAGAUUAGGAAGAACACCAGUGGCGAAGGCGACUUUCUGGACAAUAACUGACGCUGAGGCUCGAAAGCGUGGGGAGCAACAGGAUUAGAUACCCUGGUAGUCCACGCCGUAAACGAUGGGUACUAGGUGUAGGGGGUAUCGACUCCCCCUG
rnacentral:rRNA from 1 species